AUACGUAGGUGACAAGCGUUAUCCGGAUUUACUGGGCGUAAAGGGCGUGUAGGCGGUCUUGCAAGUCAGAAGUGAAAUUCCUGAGCUCAACUCGGGCGCUGCUUCUGAAACUGCAGGACUUGAGUGCUGGAGGGGAUAGCGGAAUUCCUAGUGGAGCGGUAAAAUGCGCAGAUAUUAGGAAGAACACCGGUGGCGAAGGCGGCUAUCUGGAAAGUACCGACCGCUGAGGCUGGAAAGCGUGGGGAGCAAACAGGAUUAGAUACCCUGGGAGUCCACGCCGUAAACGAUGAAUACUAGGUGUAGGGGGUAUCGACUCCCUCUGUGCCGCAGUUAACACAAUAAGUAUUCCGCCUGGGGAGUACGGCCGCAAGGUUGAAACUCAAAUGAAUUGACGGGG
rnacentral:rRNA from 1 species